AGACCCGAAACCCGGUGAUCUAGCCAUGGGCAGGUUGAAGGUUGGGUAACACUAACUGGAGGACCGAACCGACUAAUGUUGAAAAAUUAGCGGAUGACCUGUGGCUGGGGGUGAAAGGCCAAUCAAACCGGGAGAUAGCUGGUUCUCCCCGAAAGCUAUUUAGGUAGCGCCUCGUGAAUUCAUCUCCGGGGGUAGAGCACUGUUUCGGCUAGGGGGCCAUCCCGGCUUACCAACCCGAUGCAAACUGCGAAUACCGGAGAAUGUUAUCACGGGAGACACACGGCGGGUGCUAACGUCCGUCGUGAAGAGGGAAACAACCCAGACCGCCAGCUAAGGUCCCAAAGUCAUGGUUAAGUGGGAAACGAUGUGGGAAGGCCCAGACAGCCAGGAUGUUGGCUUAGAAGCAGCCAUCAUUUAAAGAAAGCGUAAUAGCUCACUGGUCGAGUCGGCCUGCGCGGAAGAUGUAACGGGGCUAAACCAUGCACCGAAGCUGCGGCAGCGACGCUGAUGCGUUGUUGGGUAGGGGAGCGUUCUGUAAGCCUGUGAAGGUGGCCUGUGAGGGUUGCUGGAGGUAUCAGAAGUGCGAAUGCUGACAUAAGUAACGAUAAAGCGGGUGAAAAGCCCGCUCGCCGGAAGACCAAGGGUUCCUGUCCAACGUUAAUCGGGGCAGGGUGAGUCGACCCCUAAGGCGAGGCCGAAAGGCGUAGUCGAUGGGAAACGGGUUAAUAUUCCCGUACUUGGUGUUACUGCGAAGGGGGGACGGAGAAGGCUAUGUUGGCCGGGCGACGGUUGUCCCGGUUUAAGCGUGUAGGUGUGUGUUCCAGGUAAAUCCGGUUCACUUUAACACUGAGGCGUGACGACGAGGCACUACGGUGCUGAAGCAACAAAUGCCCUGCUUCCAGGAAAAGCCUCUAAGCAUCAGGUAACAUCAAAU
rnacentral:rRNA from 1 species